GACGAACGCUGGCGGCGUGCCUAAUACAUGCAAGUAGAACGCUGAAGGAGGAGCUUGCUCUUCUGGAUGAGUUGCGAACGGGUGAGUAACGCGUAGGUAACCUGCCUGGUAGCGGGGGAUAACUAUUGGAAACGAUAGCUAAUACCGCAUAACAGUAGAUGUUGCAUGACAUUUACUUAAAAGGUGCAAUUGCACCACUACCAGAUGGACCUGCGUUGUAUUAGCUAGUUGGUGGGGUAACGGCUCACCAAGGCGACGAUACAUAGCCGACCUGAGAGGGUGAUCGGCCACACUGGGACUGAGACACGGCCCAGACUCCUACGGGAGGCAGCAGUAGGGAAUCUUCGGCAAUGGACGGAAGUCUGACCGAGCAACGCCGCGUGAGUGAAGAAGGUUGUCGGAUCGUAAAGCUCUGUUGUAAGAGAAGAACGAGUGUGAGAGUGGAAAGUUCACACUGUGACGGUAUCUGACCAGAAAGGGACGGCUAACUACGUG
rnacentral:rRNA from 1 species